rnacentral:rRNA from 1 species
GGCGAACGGGUGAGGAACACGUGAGGAAUCUGCCCAUCAUUUUGGGAUAACACCGGGAAACCGGUGCUAAUACCGAAUACUCCGUCUUGGCGGCAUCGCUAGGCCGGGAAAGAAUUUCGAUGAUGGAUGAUCUCGCGGCCUAUCAGCUAGUUGGUGAGGUAACGGCUCACCAAGGCAACGACGGGUAGCCGGCCUGAGAGGGCGACCGGCCACACUGGGACUGAGACACGGCCCAGACUCCUACGGGAGGCAGCAGUAGGGAAUAUUGGGCAAUGGGCGCAAGCCUGACCCAGCGACGCCGCGUGAGGGAUGAAGGUCUUCGGAUUGUAAACCUCUUUCAGUAGGGAAGAAGCGAAAGUGACGGUACCUAAAGAAGAAGCACCGGCUAACUAUGUGCCAGCAGCCGCGGUAAUACAUAGGGUGCAAGCGUUGUCCGGAAUUAUUGGGCGUAAAGAGCUCGUAGGUCGUUAAUCACGUCGGAUGUGAAAAUCUGAGGCUCAACCUCAGACCUGCAUUCGAUACGGGUUAACUAGAGUGUGGUAGGGGAGACUGGAAUUCCUGGUGUAGCGGUGGAAUGCGCAGAUAUCAGGAGGAACACCAAUGGCGAAGGCAGGUCUCUGGGCCAUUACUGACACUGAGGAGCGAAAGUUCGGGGAGCGAACAGGAUU